AUUGAACGCUGGCGGCCGGCUUAACACAUGCAAGUCGAGCGAGCGGCGGACGGGUGAGUAAUGUCUGGGAAACUGCCUGAUGGAGGGGGAUAACUACUGGAAACGGUAGCAAAUACCGCAUACCAUCAGAUGUGCCCAGAUGGGAUUAGCUAGUAGGUGGGGUAAUGGCCCACCCAGGCGACGAUCCCUAGCUGGUCUGAGAGGGUGACCAGCCACACUGGAACUGGGACACGGUCCAGACGCCUACGGUAGGCAGCAGUGGGGAAUCUUGCACAGUGGGCGCAAGCCUGAUGCAGCCAUGCCGCGUGUGUGAAGAAGGCCUUCGGGGUGUAAAGCACUUUCAGCGAGGAGGCGUUACUCGCAGAAGAAGCACCGGCUAACUCCGUGCCAGCAGCCGCGGUAAUUC
rnacentral:rRNA from 1 species